rnacentral:rRNA from 1 species
UACGUAGGGUGCGAGCGUUUAAUCGGAAUUACUGGGCGUAAAGGGCUCGUAGGCGGCCAACUAAGUCGGAUGUGAAAUCCCCAGGCUUAACCUGGGAACUGCAUCCGAUACUGGAUGGCUUGAAUCCGGGAGAGGGAUGCAGAAUUCCAGGUGUAGCGGUGAAAUGCGUAGAUAUCUGGAGGAAUACCGGUGGCGAAAGCGGCUCACUGGACCAUAACUGACGCUGAUGCACGAAAGCUAGGGGAGCAAACAGG